AGCCUCCCAAUUCUUACCACAGGCUGUAUUCUUUACACUGACUAUAUAGAAAAAGGAGUAAAUGCACCCCUUAUACACCUCAAUCAGGCCCUUUGCCUGGUCUGGAUUGUGAAUUGGGGGACAAAA